GACGAACGCUGGCGGCGUGCCUAAUACAUGCAAGUUGAGCGCUGAAGGCUGGUACUUGUACCAACUGGAUGAGCAGCGAACGGGUGAGUAACGCGUGGGGCAUCUGCCUUUGAGCGGGGGACAACAUUUAGAAACGAAUGCUAAUACCGCAUAAAAACUUUCAACACAAGUUUUAAGUUUGAAAGAUGCAAUUGCAUCACUCAAAGAUGAUCCCGCGUUGUAUUAGCUAGUUGGUGAGGUAAAGGCUCACCAAGGCGAUGAUACAUAGCAAACCUGAGAGGAUGAUCGGCCGCAUUGGGAGUGAGACACGGCACAAACGCACACGGGUGGCAGCAGUAGGGAAUCGGCAGCAAUGGACGAGAGUCUGACCGAGCAACGCCGCGGGAGUGAAGAAGGUUGUCGGAUCGUAAAACUCGGUUGGUAGAGAAGAACGUUGGUGAGAGUGGAAAGCUCAGCAAGUGACGGUAACUACCCAGAAAGGGACGGCUAACUACGUG
rnacentral:rRNA from 1 species